rnacentral:lncRNA from 1 species
CAGCUAUUACAUGCCAGAAUUUAUUCUAGGCCCUGAGAGUACAUCAGUGAACAACAUAGACAAAAAUCCUUGGAGAUUACUGAAUACAAAAAUGCAUAGUGGAUAAUUAUAUGGAUUGGAGUGGGGCCUCUUGAGUUCAAAUUCCGGCUGUGCAAUCCUGGGAGGAAGGUUUGCCUUUCUGUGUGUCAUCUGUAAAAUCAGGAUGGUAACAGUAUCUAUCGCAUAGGGUUGUUAGGAAGAUUAUAUAAGCUAAUACAAGAAAAGAACUUAGAAGAAUGUCUGGUACAUAACAUGAGGUCUAUACUCUUAGCUAUUAUUACAUUAGAUACUCUGAAAAUUAAUAAAAGGAAGUCUUGUUUAGAAUGGAGUCAGAAGGCUGGCAGAGGGAGCUUUCAUGCCCUCAUCAAUGGCAGACCCAAGAGGAGGAGCUGUACCUUGCACUUCCCUGGAUACUACUUUACUAACCCAGCAGGAGGAAAAAGGCUUCUCCAACCCCCAACACCCCAACCAACAAGGGAUUGUCACAACUCAGCCAGUGAAGAGCCAUUAUACUUCAAACUCUCAGUUUGCUCUAAUAGACUUUGGUUUAUAAAGCGCCUCAUGACACCUCCCCUCCUUUCCUCUAGAAAAAAAUAGUUUUUUUCCUUGGUUCUGAAGACUUGCCUAUGGUUUUGCCAUAGCCAGCAUGGCUCCAAUUACAAUUCUCUGCUAUUCCUAAAUAAACCCAUUUUUGCUGGUAAAGUUACUGACAGGAUUUUCUUUAAGAUUAACAAUAAUUAUGGGGCACCUGAGUGGCUCAGUCAUUUAAGCAUCUGCCUUCAACUCAGGUCAUAAGCCGGGGUCCUGGGAUGGAGCCCUACAUCAGGCUCCUUGCUCAGUGGGGAGCCUGUUCUCCCUCUCCCUCUGCCUGCUGCUCUGCUUAUGCUCCCUCUCUCUGUCAAAUAAUUAAAUAAAAUCUUAAAAACAAUUACAUUACAGAGUAAGAGCAUUUCGUUAAAAGAAGUGAGGUAUGAGGCUCUCUGGGAGUACAGAGGCAAAGCACCUUACUCAGGGGGUUGGGGAUUGGACAAAGUUUCUCAGAGGAACUUGCCACCCUAGUCCAGAAGGUUGAAUAGUAUUUUGCCCCAUGAAAAACAGAGAUUGGAGUACCAAGUAGAGGAAGGAUUGUGUUUGAAGAUUUGGAAGCCAAGGAGAGAGCAGUGAUGCUUAGAAGUGCGCUUAACUUAGUGUAGGUGUGGGAGGUUGGGAGAAGGGUAAGAAGGAAGCAGAGAUCAGAUCAUGUAAAGGAACUCUGGCUUUCUCCUUCAGCAGAAGUCAUUAACUGUAAACAGGAAAGUCACAGAGGCUGCACUGGAGUGAAAGUAAAAGAGGAGAAGCCAGUCAGAGGAGGCUACUGCAGUGACCUGGGGAGGGCGGGGGAGGCGGGGAGCGGAGAGGAAGGCCUAAACUAAUGUGCAGGACUUGAGCUUAGGGGAGUGUGGACAAAUAGAGAUUCUAAAGAAGCUGAUGUGUAGGGUCAGGAAUGAGUAGACAUCAAGGAGGACUCCUGGGUUUCUGGCUUGGGCAAUGUGGUGGGUGAUACCUCUCCCUGAGGUGAGAGGCUCAAUGAGAAGGAUCAAACUUGGUGUAUGGGGGGCCAUUGGGGAGUGAGUAUGGGCAGUGCCAGUAAUAAUGAAUGAUUAACUUACUGUUAGCUAGCUACAUUCCCUCUAAUAGGCUUUUGAGUGAUCCAGGCUGGGACAACAAGGAGCUCAGGAUCCAGCAGAGAGAUCCCAACUAAAGAUAUAUGUGGAGAAGUCCAACAUGGAAAGCUUCUGGGAGUAGCUGAAAUUACUCAUUUAUUAUGUCAUUAAAUCUCCACCACUCUGUGAAGUAAGUUUUAAAAAAAGACCCACGGGCAUAUAAUAAUUGGAUGACAGACCCAGGCUUGUCUGACUUUAAAAUCUUCACUCUUUCCUCCUUUCCACAUUGCCUUCUGGGUGGUACGUCAAGUGGCUGGAAGAAGCAGUUGUUUCUGUGUUCUUGGUUUCGGUACAUUGCUGAGUUCACUCCAGAUCCACCCUGCUGUAGUUUCUGGAAAUACAAAUAUUAAUAAAACAUGUCUGCCACAGUCAAAGCAGGGUAAAAGAGACAGAAAGACACAGGUCAUUUGAUAUAAUAUAGUAAAGGUAGUGACAGAGGUAUGCACAGGGUAUAUUUGCCACCACCUUUGAGAAUCAGGAAGGGCUCUGGCCUCAAAAGUCUUGAUAAAAGUGCAUGUCCAAUCAUGUUUGUUCAUCAGAAUAGAUGGAGUUUAAGAGCGGAGAAAGGGGUGAAAAGGUGGGGCCUUUGCCUGAGGGAAUUCAUUUGGAGGAGAUAUCACACAAAGGGCUACUUGGCAUAGAAGGGACAAUGAACAGAGAAGACAGUAAGGCCUGGGAGGGAAAGAGAAGGAAGGGUGCCUAGGGGACUGUCACACUCUAAACAUCAGAUCCAUAGCUCAGUGCAUUCAUGUGGUCCCAGCCUCCUUGCAAAAAAAAAAAAAAAAAAAAAAAAAAAAAAAAAGCUUUUGGGGGGCCAGGAAAGCCCAGUCAUCUCUGGAAUUUGGUCUUGGAUUUCGCUAGCAAGUUUGGAGGAUUAGCAAUUGUAAACACAUUUGUAAACACUGUGAUCUCCCUGAUGGGCCUGACUUGUUCACUGGGCCAUUCCCAGGACACUGCCUGGCAAAGUAGCAUUUCAAUAAGUACGAACCUUGAUGGAGUUAAAGCUAAAUGUAAAUAAACAGUUAGUUAUAUUCAGAAUAUUAAAAAGUUUUUCUAAAAUACAUUGUACAGCUACGUAAUAGAUUUACCAUGUUGAUAUUGUUUGGUCUUCUGAGUAAGAAGCCAGAGCCCUGAGUUGCCCAUUGAGGAACCUCUGAUGGUCAUAUUUGUGGCCAUAAUCUAGUUUCUAUCUGAAAGAUGUUGAAUGGUCUUUGCAAUGUUACUCAUAACCACAUGACCUGAUUUAGAAUCAAUCUUCUGACUGAAAGAAAAAAAAAAAGGAAUCAAUCUUCUGUUAAAAAAGAAUGCCACAGACCCAAAAUGGAACCACAUAAACCAAGUCACCAAACCAAGGCUUAAUAUCUAAUCUAAUUGCAGUCCCAACCUCCUCCAUAAAUGCAGCCUUCAUGGGACACUCAGGAAUUUUCUGAUCAGCACCAAUCAGGUCAUUUGUCACAUGGGCUCACCUUCCCUGAAAAUAAAAUGGGGUGAUCCACUUUAAAAGAUCCUCUGCCCUUCCCCCUAAACGAAGGUUACCUUACCUAGAAUAAUCCUCUCUUUUUCUUUUGUUAAUAAUUUCCUUCUCCCACCUUACUUUCCUAUAAAUACCUUCUGUUAUAUACAACUCCUCAGAACUUCCUUCUUCCUGCUAGAUGGGAUGCUGCCCGAUUGAUGAAUUGUUUAAUAAAGUCAAGUAGAUCUUCCACUUAGUUGAAUUUUAUUUUUUAACGCUUCUAAUCAAAUUCAUAAUCCAUUGUUUCUUGUGAAAUAUUUUAUAGUUUGUCUGCCAACAUAUUAAUGUUAACACACCAGUGGAUGUGACAGAAAGUCUUAACCAGAAAAAGAUAAACAUUUGUUUUGCUUUUGUUUUUGUUUUUAAGAGAUAAACAUUUGUAAUGAAAUCCUCAAGAAGUAGUCACUUGAGCACUGAAUCUUUUCCUGGGCACCAUCAAAGUCAGAGUCAACAUGUAAGUAUUCGACAAACUCAGUCGUCGUGUAUUUUUCUGUGUAAGACUCCCCUUGAGUGACAGACCAGAGUUUUUUAGCAACGGCCUCUAUUUCCAAGCAUCUUUGAAUAUUACAACUGCUAUAGUCAAAUGGCCACAAAAUGUGGACACAUUAUUUGAAUUAUUAAGAUGCUGUGGCUGAUAAAGGACUAGACAAAUGAUGGUUUAACAGCUUUUGGGGUGCUCAAAGAAAACAAAGACCCAUGAAUAAGGGAUGCUUGCUACUGAAACACUGGAACAUAGAAAUGAGAGAAUUAUUAUUUAUGGCGUCUUUUUAAAUGUGUAAGGUCUUCUAUGGUUACACUUUCAUUCCAUGUUAUGGAAAUAAACAAAGACCACCCAAAUCAGAACUAUCAAAGGCUAUUUUUUUCAGAACUUAAUAUAGUAAAGAAGUCAGCCAUCAUCACUUGGCAUUUGGACUCAAAGGCAGGGAGGGGAGUGGGAGUGCUUUAUAGGAAAAAAAAAACAAAACAAAACAGGGGGACUUCAAGUAUGCUCUGAUGGGACAUUAUUGGCAUGGGAAAACAGGAGGCAAGCUAACUAGAAGUGGAAUAUUUUGCAAGAUUGGAUUGGGGAGCAUAUCCAUCUUUUUUUGAUUAGUUCCAAGGUAGAGGCAAGGGAAGUUGGUAGUCAUUGACCAGGUCCUGACCACUCUGGGCAGGUUGCUAUAGAGGUUGUGAGACAGAAUCCAAUUGUCAUAUAUGGUCUGGCCAUUAUCUGCAUGCAUAUGCAGUUUCUGAGCAUUAAAAUGUCAGAGCUUAGUGAGGCACUUGGGUGGCUCAGUGGCUGGGUGUGUCUACCUUUGGCUCAGAUCAUCAUCCCGGGGUCCUCGGAUUGAGUCCUACAUCAGGCUUCUUUCAGGGAGCCUGCUUCUCCCUCUGCCUAUGCCUCUGCCUCACUCUCUGUGGCUCUCAUGAAUAAGUAAAAUCUUAAAAAAAAAAAAAAAAAAAA